rnacentral:rRNA from 1 species
UACGUAGGGGACGAGCGUUGUCCGGAAUACUGGGCGUAAAGCGUGCGCAGGCGGUUUGUAAGUCAGGUGUGAAAUCCCCGGGCUCAACCUGGGAACUGCAUCUGUGACUGCAUCGCUGGAGUGCGGCAGAGGGGGAUGGAAUUCCGCGUGUAGCAGUGAAAUGCGUAGAUAUGCGGAGGAACACCGAUGGCGAAGGCAAUCCCCUGGGCCUGCACUGACGCUCAUGCACGAAAGCGUGGGGAGCAAACAGG